GGAACCGUGCCCGAGAGAAUAGGGACCACUUUGAUAGAGUGAACUACAGGGGAUAAAAUCCCCUCGGUUCUU
rnacentral:tRNA from 1 species